CAGCCGCCGCGGGAAUACGAGGGGGGCAAGCGUUGUUCGGAAUUAUUGGGCGUAAAGGGUGCGUAGGCGGUUUGGCAAGUUUGGUGUGAAAUCUUCGGGCUCAACUCGAAGUCUGCAUCGAAAACUGCCGGGCUUGAGUAUGGUAGAGGUGAGUGGAAUUUCCGGUGUAGCGGUGAAAUGCGUAGAUAUCGGAAGGAACACCUGUGGCGAAAGCGGCUCACUGGACCAUAACUGACGCUGAUGCACGAAAGCUAGGGGAGCAAACAGGAUUAGAUACCCCCGUAGUCCCUGUCUCUUAUAC
rnacentral:rRNA from 1 species